rnacentral:rRNA from 1 species
UGCGCAGGCGGUUUUGUAAGACAGGCGUGAAAUCCCCGGGCUUAACCUGGGAAUUGCGCUUGUGACUGCAAGGCUGGAGUGCGGCAGAGGGGGAUGGAAUUCCGCGUGUAGCAGUGAAAUGCGUAGAUAUGCGGAGGAACACCGAUGGCGAAGGCAAUCCCCUGGGCCUGCACUGACGCUCAUGCACGAAAGCUGGGAGCAAACA